rnacentral:rRNA from 1 species
ACUAGAGUGUAAGAGAGGGUGAUGGAAUUCCCAGUGUAGGGGUAAAAUCCGUAGAUAUUGGGAGGAACACCGGAGGCGAAGGCGGUCACCUGGCUUACAACUGACACUCAUCCUCGAGAGCAUGGGUAGCAAACAGGAUUAGAUACCCUGGUAGUCUAUGCUUGUAAACGAUGGACACUAGAUGUUGUGGGAUUUGAUCCCUGCAGUAUCGUUAGUUAACGCGUUAAGUGUCCCGCCUGGGGAAUACGGUCGCAAGAUUUAAACUCAAAGAAAUUGACGGGGGCCCGCACAAGCGGUGGAGCAUGUGGUUCAAUUCGAGGCAACGCGAAAAACCUUACCUGGGCUUGACAUCCUGCUUUAAAUCAUAGAGAUAUGGUCUAGUCUUCGGACAAGGCAGGACAGGUGCUGCAUGGCUGUCGUCAGCUCGUGUCGUGAGAUGUUGGGUUAAGUCCUGCAACGAGCGCAACCCUUUAUCAUUAGUUGCCAUCAUUAAGUUGGGUACUCUAAUGAGACUGCCGGUGUUAAACCGGAGGAAGGUGGGGAUGACGUCAAGUCAUCACGGCCCUUAUGUCCAGGGCUACACACGUGCUACAAUGGUCGGUACAAAGAGCUGCAAACCCGCAAGGGGGAGCUAAUCUCAAAAAGCCGAUCUCAGUUCGGAUCGGAGUCUGCAAUUUGACUUCGUGAAGCUGGAAUCGCUAGUAAUCGCGAAUCAGCAUGUCGCGGUGAAUACGUUCCCGGGCNUUGUACACACCGCCCGUCACACCACGAAAGUUUAUUGUACCAGAAGAGGUGAAGCUACUUGUGAGG